rnacentral:rRNA from 1 species
UACAGAGGUCCCAAGCGUUGUUCGGAUUCACUGGGCGGUAAAGGGUGCGUAGGUCGGUCGGGUAAGUCUGAUGAUUGAAAUCUACACAGCUUAACUGUGAAACUGCAUUGGAUACUAUCCGGCUAGAGGAAUGGAGGGGAGACUGGAAUACUUGGUGUAGCAAGUGAAAUGCGUAGAUAUCAAGUGGAACACCAGUGGCGAAGGCGAGUCUCUGGACAUUUCCUGACGCUGAGGCACGAAAGCCAGGGGAGCAAACGGG